AUUGAACGCUGGCGGCAGGCCUAACACAUGCAAGUCGAGCGGAGCGGCGGACGGGUGAGUAAUGCCUAGGAAUCUGCAUGGUAGUGGGGGAUAACGUACGGAAACGGGCGCUAAUACCGCAUACUAUCAGAUGACCCUAGGUCGGAUUAGCUAGAUGGUGGGGUAAAGGCUUACCAAGGCGACGAUGCGUCACUGGUCGGAGAGGAUGAUCAGUCACACUGGAACUGAGACACGGGCCAGACUCCUACGGGAGGCAGCAGUGGGGAAUAUUGGACAAUGGGCGAAAGCCUGAUCCAGCCAUGCCGCGUGGGUGAAGAAGGUCUUCGGAUUGUAAAGCACUUUAAGUUGGGAGGCGUUACCAACAGAAUAAGCACCGGCUAACUACGUGCCAGCAGCCGCGGUAAUUC
rnacentral:rRNA from 1 species